AGACGGUGACAUUGCAGGUGUCCUGUGCCGGUGCCGGCCCCGCCCCCGGGGACAAAGGCCUUCCAGGUCACCUACCAGAGAACCUGGGUCCAGGGGAACAGAUCUGACCUGAAGAGGAGGAAGUGGCGCCCGGAACCGAGCCUGGGGGUCUUGGAUGCAGAGAGGAUGGCGUCGUCGAGCCCCGAUGCCCCUUGUUCCUGCGACUGUUUUGUCUCUGUGCCCCCGGCCUCAGCCAUCCCAGCUGUAAUCUUUGCAAAGAACUCAGACCGGCCCCGAGAUGAGGUGCAGGAGGUGGUGUUUAUACCAGCAGGCACUCACGUCCCUGGGAGCCGGCUUCAGUGUACCUAUAUCGAGGUGGAACAGGUGGGGAAGACACACGCUGUGAUUCUGAGCCGCCCCUCUUGGCUGUGGGGAGCUGAGAUGGGGGCCAACGAGCUUGGUGUCUGCAUUGGAAACGAAGCAGUGUGGACCAAAGAGCCUGUGGGGCAGGGGGAAGCCCUGCUGGGUAUGGACCUGCUCAGGCUGGCUUUGGAACGGAGCAGCACUGCCCAGGAGGCUGUUCACGUGAUUGCAGGCUUGCUGGACCGCUAUGGGCAGGGAGGCAGCUGCCGGGAGGAUCCAGAGCCGUUCUGCUAUCACAACACCUUUUUACUGGCUGAUCGGACAGAGGCGUGGGUGCUGGAGACAGCUGGGAGCCUGUGGGCUGCUCAGCGGAUCCAGGGUAGGAGUCUAGCGUAGAGCCUGCCUCCAAGAGGGAACCUAGACCUCCCCAGGAGGUGCCCGGAAUAUUUCCAACCAGCUGAGCAUUGGUACAGACAUCUCAGCUGAACACCCGGAGCUCCGCAGCCAUGCCAAGGCUCAGGGUUGGUGGACUGGGCAGGGCCUCUUUGACUUUGCGGAGGUCUUCUCCCUGACCCAGCAGCCUGUGCGCAUGGAGGCUGCCAAGGCCCGCUUCCGGGCAGGGUGUGAGAUGCUGCAGCGGCAUCAAGGGAACAUCACAGCAGAGGUGAUGAUGGGCAUCCUCAGGGACAAGGAGAGCGGCAUCUGCAUGGACUCCGGAGGCUUCCGCACCACAGCCAGUAUGGUAUCGGUCCUGCCCCAGGAUCCCACAAAGCCCUGUGUCCACUUCCUCACUGCCACCCCAGACCCAUCCAGGUCGGUAUUCAAGCCUUUCAUCUUUGAAGUGGGGGUGUCCCAGUCCCCCCAGGUGUUGUCCCCCACUUUUGGAGCCCAGGACCCUGUUCGGAUCCUCCCACGAUUCCAGACUCGGGUGGACCGUCGGCACUCACUCUAUCGUGGACACCAGGCAGCCCUGGGGCUGAUGGAGGAUGAGCAGGAGCAGGCACAGCAACUCCGGAAAAAGCAGCAGAGGCUGGAGCAGGAAGGCCUAGAGGCUCUCAGAGGGCUGCUUACGGGUGAACAGACCCCACCAGCCCAGGGCCUGGGCAGCCUCUUCCAGGCCUUUGUGGAGAGGGAAGAGCAGGCCUAUGCUUAAGCAUGCAGGAGCUCUGGGGCCGGCUGCCCUGAGCUGUGGUGGGUGCGGUGGUGGGGUUGAGUCACAGCCAUCCCUUCACCCUGCUCAUCCAGGUUUGGAGUGACUUAAUAAAUGUUUUAUCUCCUUCUUCAGUGAA